GACGAACGCUGGCGGCGUACUUAACACAUGCAAGUCGAACGGUAAGGCCCUUCGGGGUACACGAGCGGCGAACGGGUGAGUAACACGUGGGUGAUCUGCCCUGCACUUCGGGAUAAGCCUGGGAAACUGGGGCUAAUACCGGAUAGGACCCUGGGAUGCAUGUCCUGGGGUGGAAAGCUUUUGCGGUGUGGGAUGGGCCCGCGGCCUAUCAGCUUGUUGGUGGGGUGAUGGCCUACCAAGGCGACGACGGGUAGCCGGCCUGAGAGGGUGACCGGCCACACUGGGACUGAGAUACGGCCCAGACUCCUACGGGAGGCAGCAGUGGGGAAUAUUGCACAAUGGGCGCGAGCCUGAUGCAGCGACGCCGCGUGAGGGAUGACGGCCUUCGGGUUGUAAACCUCUUUCAGCACCGACGAAGCGCAAGUGACGGUAGGUGCAGAAGAAGGACCGGCCAACUACGUGCCAGCAGCCGCCGUAA
rnacentral:rRNA from 1 species